GUUGUAUGGUUAAGUGACUAAGCGUACACGGUGGAUGCCUUGGCAGUCAGAGGCGAUGAAAGACGUAGUAACUUGCGAUAAGCCCAGAUUAGGUAGUAACAACCAUUUGAGUCUGGGAUUUCUGAAUGGGGAAACCCACGUGCAUAAGCACGUAUCCUUACCUGAAUACAUAGGGUAAGGAGGCGAACCGGGGGAACUGAAACAUCUAAGUACCCCGAGGAAAAGAAAUCAACCGAGAUUCCGAAAGUAGCGGCGAGCGAAAUUGGACUAGCCCUUAAGCUUUACACGCGUUAGACGAACGGUCUGGAAAGUCCGACGAUACAGGGUGAUAGUCCCGUAGUUGACGACGUGUGUUCAGUGAAAUCGAGUAGGGCGGGACACGUGAUAUCCUGUCUGAAUAUGGGGGGACCAUCCUCCAAGGCUAAAUACUACUGACUGACCGAUAGUGAACCAGUACCGUGAGGGAAAGGCGAAAAGAACCCCUGUGAGGGGAGUGAAAUAGAACCUGAAACCGUGUACGUACAAGCAGUAGGAGCAGGCUUUGUCCUGUGACUGCGUACCUUUUGUAUAAUGGGUCAGCGACUUAUAUUCAGUGGCAAGGUUAACCAUCUAGGGGAGCCGUAGGGAAACCGAGUCUUAACUGGGCGUUCAGUCUCUGGAUAUAGACCCGAAACCAGGUGAUCUAGCCAUGGGCAGGUUGAAGGUUGAGUAACAUCAACUGGAGGACCGAACCGACUAAUGUUGAAAAAUUAGCGGAUGACUUGUGGCUAGGGGUGAAAGGCCAAUCAAACCUGGAGAUAGCUGGUUCUCCCCGAAAGCUAUUUAGGUAGCGCCUCGGACGAAUACUACUGGGGGUAGAGCACUGUUAAGGCUAGGGGGUCAUCCCGACUUACCAACCCUUUGCAAACUCCGAAUACCAGUAAGUACUAUCCGGGAGACACACGGCGGGUGCUAACGUCCGUCGUGGAGAGGGAAACAACCCAGACCGCCAGCUAAGGUCCCAAAUUACUACUAAGUGGGAAACGAUGUGGGAAGGCUCAGACAGCCAGGAUGUUGGCUUAGAAGCAGCCAUCAUUUAAAGAAAGCGUAAUAGCUCACUGGUCGAGUCGGCCUGCGCGGAAGAUGUAACGGGGCUAAGUAGUAAACCGAAGCUGCGGCAAUAUACUUUUGUAUAUUGGGUAGGGGAGCGUUCUGUAAGCGGUUGAAGGUGUGUGGUAACGCAUGCUGGACGUAUCAGAAGUGCGAAUGCUGACAUGAGUAACGAUAAAGGGGGUGAAAAACCUCCUCGCCGGAAGACCAAGGGUUCCUGUCCAACGUUAAUCGGGGCAGGGUAAGUCGACCCCUAAGGCGAGGCCGAAAGGCGUAGUCGAUGGGAAACGGGUUAAUAUUCCCGUACUUCUUACAAUUGCGAUGGGGGGACGGAGAAGGCUAGGUGGGCCUGGCGACGGUUGUCCAGGUUCAAGUGCGUAGGCUUAAGAGUUAGGUAAAUCCGGCUCUUUUUAAGGCUGAGACACGACGUCGAGCAUCUACGGAUGUGAAGUCAUUGAUGCCAUGCUUCCAGGAAAAGCCUCUAAGCUUCAGAUUGUAAGGAAUCGUACCCCAAACCGACACAGGUGGUCGGGUAGAGAAUACCAAGGCGCUUGAGAGAACUCGGGUGAAGGAACUAGGCAAAAUGGUACCGUAACUUCGGGAGAAGGUACGCUCUUGAUGGUGAAGUCCCUCGCGGAUGGAGCUGACGAGAGUCGCAGAUACCAGGUGGCUGCAACUGUUUAUUAAAAACACAGCACUGUGCAAAAUCGUAAGAUGACGUAUACGGUGUGACGCCUGCCCGGUGCCGGAAGGUUAAUUGAUGGGGUUAGACUUCGGUCGAAGCUCUUGAUCGAAGCCCCGGUAAACGGCGG
rnacentral:rRNA from 1 species